AGCGUAGCAUGAACACGGUUUAACAGACGUUAGUUUAUCAGAGGAAAGUUAGAUGCUGUAGCUUUGAGCAUCUUUGUGGAGCUUCUUAUGGAUCCAUCAUGAACUGAUCUUCAGUGUUCUGGUGUCCAUCCAGUUCAACGGCAGCUGCGUUCUUCAGAACCAGAGAAGAAUCGCUCAAAAGUCAUUCGUCCGCUCUGAGAGUUGUCCGACUGGAGCUCCCAGUUACAGUAAAGAGCGAACAGUCGGAAAGGUUUCGUCAGCCAUAGAUGCUAAAGCUCAGCUUCUGGCCGUCCUCUAUGAGACCGACCACAGGCCCAAUACCACGCCGGCUCUAGUUCCCUGGUCGCGGAGGGGUCCUAAGGCUGACGGGGUAAAUGGGAUCUGCUUUGUCCUCACGAGGGCAAAGCAACAAAUCAGCUAGUAUGUUUGCAGCCGUGUUAGAUGGUUUCUGAAAUAAAGCUUCAGAGGACCUGGAGUUUGCUUUAUAAACAGCUUUAUACGCGUCUGCAUGCAGCCAUCGCUGACUUCAGGUCACGUUUAACCGUGUGGAAAAGCUUCUGUAGCUGUACCGAGACUUCACCAAGCUCUCACCAACCACUAAAAGUCAGUCCCACAUUUA